GAGGGGAGAGUGUACUGGUAGUGACAGGUUAUUGGUGUAUAGAGGGGACAGUGUACUGGUAGUGACAGGUUACCGGUGUAUGGAGAGGACAGUGUAAAGG